GAUGAACGCUGGCGGCGUGCCUAAUACAUGCAAGUCGAGCGAACAGACGAGGAGCUUGCUCCUCUGACGUUAGCGGCGGACGGGUGAGUAACACGUGGAUAACCUACCUAUAAGACUGGGAUAACUUCGGGAAACCGGAGCUAAUACCGGAUAAUAUAUUGAACCGCAUGGUUCAAUAGUGAAAGACGGUUUUGCUGUCACUUAUAGAUGGAUCCGCGCCGCAUUAGCUAGUUGGUAAGGUAACGGCUUACCAAGGCAACGAUGCGUAGCGGACCUGAGAGGGUGAUCGGCCACACUGGAACUGAGACACGGUCCAUACUCCUACGGGAGGCAGCAGUAGGGAAUCUUCCGCAAUGGGCGAAAGCCUGACGGAGCAACGCCGCGUGAGUGAUGAAGGUCUUCGGAUCGUAAAACUCUGUUAUUAGGGAAGAACAAAUGUGUAAGUAACUAUGCACGUCUUGACGGUACCUAAUCAGAAAGCCACGGCUAACUACGUG
rnacentral:rRNA from 1 species